rnacentral:rRNA from 1 species
AGAGUUUGAUCCUGGCUCAGGACGAACGCUGGCGGCGUGCCUAACACAUGCAAGUCGAGCGAUGAAGUUUCCUUCGGGAAACGGAUUAGCGGCGGACGGGUGAGUAACACGUGGGUAACCUGCCUUAUAGUGGGGGAUAGCCUUUCGAAAGGAAGAUUAAUACCGCAUAAGAUUGUAGUAUCGCAUGAUAUAGCAAUUAAAGGAGCAAUUCGCUAUAAGAUGGACCCGCGUCGCAUUAGCUAGUUGGUGAGGUAAUGGCUCACCAAGGCGACGAUGCGUAGCCGACCUGAGAGGGUGAUCGGCCACAUUGGGACUGAGACACGGCCCAGACUCCUACGGGAGGCAGCAGUGGGGAAUAUUGCACAAUGGGCGAAAGCCUGAUGCAGCAACGCCGCGUGAGUGAUGACGGCCUUCGGGUUGUAAAACUCUGUCUUCAGGGACGAUAAUGACGGUACCUGAGG